GACGUGCGGAGUGAAAGCGAAAGGCCGGGCAGAGAGCCGGGAGACCGGAGAUCUUGCAACUGGAGCAGCAUGGCCAAGCCUUGUGGGGUGCGCCUGAGCGGGGAAGCCCGCAAACAGGUGGAUAUCUUCAGGCAAAAUCUUUUUCAGGAGGCAGAGGAAUUCCUCUACAGAUUUUUACCACAGAAAAUCAUAUACCUGAAUCAACUCUUGCAAGAGGACUCCCUCAAUGUGGCUGACCUGACCUCUCUCCGGGCCCCACUAGACAUCCCCAUCCCAGACCCCCCACCCAAGGAUGAUG